UAGGGUUAGCAAACAGCCUAUUCUUCCUCUUCAAUUUUAAUUGUCUCGACAUGGCAUCAGAUUAUGGAAUUAUAGGAAAAAAGUUGUGUUUUUGAUGUUGUUCUGUGUGUGGUGUUCGUAUUUGUUGUUGUAAUGGGAAAAAGUUGUGUUUUCUUCGUUGUUCUAUGUGUGGUGUUACUAUUUGUUGUUGCAGUGGAAAAAAAUUGUGUUUUCUAUGUGGUUCUAUGUUUGCGUGGUGUUACUCUUUGUUGUUGCAGUGGAAAAAAUUGUGUUUUCUGGUGUUCGUAUUUGUUGCUGUAAUUGAAAGAAAGAAGGUUUCCUUUUACCUUUUUGUGUUGUUCUAAGUGUGGUAUUUGUUGUUGUAAUGGAAAAAAGUUGUGUUCCUUGUCCUCCAGGUGUAGGAAAAGUGGUUUUGCCAUUGCUAGCAUUUGGAGGAAUCGCUGUUUGGAUUAAUUAUUAUUAUAGGAAAAGACCUAUAAUAAUUAGCCAAGAAGAGGUUGAUGACACAAAGGAGGAUUAUUUGAGUCAGCUACCAGUCGAUGUUUUGUCUUCCAUUCUUGGAAAUUUGACAGUACGAGAUGCUGCUAGGACGACCAUCUUAUCUAGGAGGUGGAAAUAUCUAUUUGCCUCUACACAACUACAACAACUAUCCACAUUUGAAUUCAGAUGCUUUGAUAUGUUGAAAUGCUCGUCCUGGUCAUUCUUGUUGCUCUUACUAUCAACAAAAAGACAAAUUCAUGAAUAGGUUAUACCAGUUUUUAAGACACUAUUGUGGUUGUAGAGUUGCUCACGUUCAGAUGGUCUGUUGCUUUGUGAGAGAAUUUCUUAGUGCAUUUACCCAAUGGUUCCAAUUUCUUACAUUUUCUCUUGAGUUUCUCUCUCA